rnacentral:rRNA from 1 species
ACGGAAGGCAGCAGUGGGGAAUAUUGGGCAAUGGGCGAAAGCCUGACCCAGCAACACCGCGUGAAUGAUGAAGGUCUUCGGAUUGUAAAGUUCUGUGAUGGGGGACGAAGAAAGUGACGGUACCCCAAGAGCAAGCCACGGCUAACUACGUGCCAGCAGCCGCGGUAAUACGUAGGUGGCGAGCGUUGUCCGGAAUGACUGGGCGUAAAGGGUACGUAGGUGGCUAAGUAAGUUAGUGGUGAAAUUCCGGGGCUCAACUCCGGCGCUACCACUAAGACUGUUUAGCUUGAGUGCAGGAGGGGCAAGUGGAAUUCCUAGUGUAGCGGUGGAAUGCGUAGAUAUUAGGAAGAACACCGGAGGCGAAGGCGACUUGCUGGACUGUAACUGACACUGAAGUACGAAAGCGUGGGGAGCAAACAGGAUUAGAUACCCUGGUA